UGAAGGAGUGUAUUGAUCCGUUGGGCAAGUUCAUGUACCGUUGCAUGACGGUUCUUGUUAAAGUUGAACCAAAUCCUUGCACAUGGUAGUUUGCAUGAGUUUAUUAUGGAUAAGAUGUAGUAAGCAUUUGUGUUUGUAUUGGGGCCACAUGAUUUUUGUUAUGAAUUUUAGUUGAAAAUUAAUAAUAGUCGAUUCUUCUUUUUAAGAAGUUAAGAAAAAUUUUAUAAGUUUUUAUAGUUGACAUCUAUACUAAAUCAUUUCAUAUAUUUUCUGUAUAGUAAAAUUUUGUCAUUUUAUUUAGAGCCAGAAAGAACAUAAUCCCAGGACAUAAAUCAUUUAUACAAAAAGAGAAAGUUUGUGUCUUACUCUAAUCAUAAGACACAAGGGUGAUGGCUUCUGAAAUGUGAAAUUGUGAGUUGAGUAAAUUGUGUAAAAUUUGUUUUUAUUAUACAGUAACGGAUAAUAAUGUAUUUAUUGCACAUUGCGACAUUAUUGAUACUAGGUGGCACCAGAGAAAGAACAGCAACACCUUUAUCUGCAUGCCACAUCCUCGUCAUGAUCCAUCAUGCAUUAUGUUAUAUACAUACAGCUGUCCACACUAUAGAAUAUAUGUAUGUUGCGUUUAGUGGAGUACAGUUAUUUAAUAAAUACAUUAAAAAUUCUAUAAAUUA
rnacentral:lncRNA from 1 species